rnacentral:miRNA from 1 species
GCAGAGCUUGCUCUGUAGCGGUUUCCUUCAGGGCAGGUGGUGGCUGCUCCUUUGGGAGCAUGGAGGAAGGCCCAGGCCGCG